rnacentral:rRNA from 1 species
UACAGAGGUGGCAAGCGUUGUUCGGAAUUACUGGGCGUAAAGGGCGCGUAGGCGGCCAUCUAAGUCAGACGUGAAAUCCCCCGGCUUAACCUGGGAACUGCAUUCGAGACUGCAUUGCUAGAGUAUGGGAGAGGGAAGUGGAAUUUCCGGUGUAGCGGUGAAAUGCGUAGAUAUCGGAAGGAACAUCAGUGGCGAAAGCGACUUCCUGGACCAAUACUGACGCUCAUGUGCGAAAGCGUGGGGAGCAAACAGG